rnacentral:rRNA from 1 species
UACGUAGGGUGCAAGCGUUUGUCCGGAAUUAUUGGGCGUAAAGAGCUCGUAGGCGGUUUGUCGCGUCUGCUGUGAAAACUCGGGGCUUAACCCCGGCCUGCAGUGGGUACGGGCAGACUAGAGUGCGGUAGGGGAGACUGGAAUUCCUGGUGUAGCGGUGAAAUGCGCAGAUAUCAGGAGGAACACCAAUUGCGAAGGCAGCUCUCUGGGUCCCUACCGACGCUGGGGUGCGAAAGCAUGGGGAGCGAACAGG